AGAGUUUGAUCCUGGCUCAGGACGAACGCUGGCGGCGUGCUUAACACAUGCAAGUCGAACGGUNAAGGGAUCAGCUUGCUGGUUCUGGAUGAGUGGCGAACGGGUGAGUAACACGUGAGUAACCUGCCCCCUUCUUCUGGAUAACCGCAUGAAAGUGUGGCUAAUACGGGAUAUUCUGCGCCUGCUGCAUGGUGGGUGUGGGAAAGAUAUUGUUUCGGUGGGGGAUGGGCUCGCGGGCCUAUCAGCUUGUUGGUGGGGUGAUGGGCCUACCAAGGCGGUGACGGGUAGCCGGCCUGGAGAGGGUGGACGGUCACCACUGGGACUGAGACACGGCCCAGACUCCUACGGGAGGCAGCA
rnacentral:rRNA from 1 species